rnacentral:rRNA from 2 species
AAAGGCGCAAUGAAAGUGAAGGUCCGCCUUGCGCGGACCUAGGGAGGAUGGGUCCGUUCUCGAACGGGCCCCGCACUCCCGGGGCGUCUCGUUCUCAUCGCGAGAUGAGGCGCACCUAGAGCGUACACGCUGGGACCCGAAAGAUGGUGAACUAUGCCUGGUCAGGACGAAGUCAGGGGAAACCCUGAUGGAGGUCCGUAGCGAUUCUGACGUGCAAAUCGAUCGUCGGAACUGGGUAUAGGGGCGAAAGACUAAUCGAACCUUCUAGUAGCUGGUUCCCUCCGAAGUUUCCCUCAGGAUAGCUGGCGCUCGCAUUGCGAGUCUCAUUCGGUAAAGCGAAUGAUUAGAGGCAUUGGGGUCGAAACGGCCUCAACCUAUUCUCAAACUUUAAAUGGGUGAGAUCUCCGGCUUGCUUAAAGCGUGAAGCCGCGAGACUUCGGAUCAAUGAGUGCCAAGUGGGCCACUUUUGGUAAGCAGAACUGGCGCUGUGGGAUGAACCAAACGCCGAGUUAAAGCGCCAAAAUCGACGCUUAUGGGA